rnacentral:SRP_RNA from 1 species
GCCAGGUGCGGUGGUGGGUGCCUGUAGUCCCAGCUACUGGGGAGUCUGAGGUGGGAGAAUUGCUUGAGCCAGGAGUUCUGGGCUGUAGUGCGCUAUGCUGAUUGGGUGUCCACAGUAAGUUCAGCAUCAGUAUGGUGACCUCCCAGGAGCAGGAGACCACCAGGUUGCCUAAGGACGGGUGAACUGGCCCAGGUCAGAAACAGAGCAGGUCAAAACUCCUGUGCUAAUUAGCAAUGGGAUCGUGCCUGUGAAUAGCCACUGCACUCCAGCCUGGGCAACAUAGUGAGACCCUGCCUCU